UAAACCUCAAUCCCCUGGGUUUUGCGACCUGGGUGGACUUGGAUCUUGGGCGUCUGCCAGCUAAUGGCUCGCCUCAAAUGACUUAGUGGGAUUAGCGCUCAUGGCUUCAGACGUAAUAAGUUUCGUCUGGCUGUGUGGUGUGUUGCCCUCUGACAAACCCCAAUCAUUUGUAA
rnacentral:misc_RNA from 1 species